CCUACGGGUGGCAGCAGUGGGGAAUAUUGCACAAUGGGGGAAACCCUGAUGCAGCGACGCCGCGUGAGUGAAGAAGUAAUUCGUUACGUAAAGCUCUAUCAGCAGGGAAGAAAUACUGACCUUACGGUCAGCAGACGGUACCUGAGUAAGAAGCCCCGGCUAACUACGUGCCAGCAGCCGCGGGAAUACGUAGGGGGCAAGCGUUAUCCGGAUUUACUGGGUGGAAAGGGAGCGUAGACGGUGCGCCAAGUCUGGAGUGAAAUGCCGCAGCUUAACUGCGGAACUGCUUUGGAAACUGGCGAACUAGAGUGCGGGAGGGGUAAGCGGAAUUCCUAGUGUAGCGGUGAAAUGCGUAGAUAUUAGGAGGAACACCGGUGGCGAAGGCGGCUUACUGGACCGUAACUGACGUUGAGGCUCGAAAGCGUGGGGAGCAAACAGGAUUAGAUACCCGAGUAGUC
rnacentral:rRNA from 1 species